AGGGUCGGUCGGGUGACCGCGGCUCUGUCAGACAGAGCUGAGGAAAGUCCGCACUCCACAGAGCACGGCGCCGGGUAACACCCGGGAUGGGGUAACCUGUCGGAUCGGGCCACAGAAACAUACCGCCGAAGCAUCGCUGGCGAUGCUGGCAAGGGUGAAAAGGCGUGUGUAAGAGACCACCGACGGCUGCAGCAAUGCAGCCGGUCAGGCAACCCCCGCCGGGAGCAAGGCCAAGCAGGGACUACAGGCUGCUCGUCUUAUGGUCCCGGGUAGGCUGCUUGAGGCGCAUGGCGACAUGCGUCCCAGAGAGAUGGUCACCCAGACGCAUGGUCGGGAAGGAGCUGCCCUGCAGUGUAAACCGACCCGCUGCGUUGGACAGAAUGCGGCUUACAGACUGACCCGGCUG
rnacentral:RNase_P_RNA from 1 species